rnacentral:lncRNA from 1 species
GCAGGGGGGUUCUUGUGGGGUCACUGGGUCUUGAUCCGCGGGAGUGGGGUAGGAAUAGAGCCCUGAGGGACAGGGACUAUGGCGACGCGGGGGUGGGAGGUACAGAGAGGGGUGUCGAGCCUGGAGCAGGGCUAUGGCAGGGACACUCACUGGGGCAUGGGCAGCGACAGGCGAAGAAGGUUCAGGGCCAGGUGGACAGUCAUGUCUCAAUUCAGGAAAGAGAAGUGCAGGCAGGAUUGGGUGCGGGAGAGCCAGGCCCAUCACCAGCACCGAGUUAGGGGUCUGCAGAGCUGAUUGGAGGGUGGGUUUGGAGGGGCAAGGAAAACAGCAGCAGGCACUCCUGGAGUGGCCGCCUGUCCCCCUGCUCUCAGAGGGUACCUCCAGCUCAGAAGGACCCAGUCUGAGUCCAGGGUUUUCCGUGGAGAGGAUGGAGAAGCCUCAGUCCGCCAGCCCUCUCCCCAGUAGAAAUGCAGAAAGCUCACAGCUGGAAUUAGGGAGAGGAUGGGGAUACUAGUCAGUGAGCCAGCCUCCCCCGACCUAAGGCUAGAGGCCCAGAGAUUGUUUUCCCAUUGACUCUUCAUUUUCCACUGCCCAAGGAUGAACUCAAACACAGGAGAUAGGAGAUGAUUUGGAUGAAGUGAUAAAGAAAAGGCUUCACUCCAAGAAAAAAAAGAAAAAGAAAAGAAAAUGAAAAGACCUGCAGGAGCAAGAAGCCCUUUCCAGGGUGUGCUUAUGAGGAAGAAGGGAAUUAUGGUGAUAGCUACCACUUAAGCACUUACCUUGUUCCAGGUGCAAUAACGGUGUUUUACAGGCAUUAUUUUAUUUAGUCCCCCAAAAUAAAGCUAUUACGUACCUUUUUAUCAUUACCCCUAAUAAAACUAAUGAUUAGACUGUUUAAAAACCUACCUGGGUCAUACGGACAGUUACCAGUGGACCCAAGAUUCAAACCUUUGUAUUUCAGAGUCCAGAAUAUAUAUUUUUACCCCUACUUUGUAGGAUAAGAAAAUGCAGCCCAGUCAACCAGCCAAGGUCUACCAUUUGCUAUAGGACACGAGAUGACCAAGGUUUCACAUAAUAAUGCUGUGGAGGAGUGGGAAGGUUGAGUGGAGGAAGGGAUAUCUGCCUCCAACCACGCUAGACCCGACCUGCUGUCACCGCCCGCCCCAGCUGGAUCCAGAAUGGAAACCUGGAAUAGCAGGCAAAGCCACCCCCGACACUCCAUGUUCCUCCCCAGAACCAGCUCCCUCUCCUACCAGCUGAAUUUUCAGGACAGAGCUGCCAGGUGGCCAGUCCACAGGUGGAAGUGGAAGGAGAUUGAAAGGACCUGGGAAGAGGUUCAUUGGUCAUGGUGCCUGGCUGGUGCUUUCCAAAGCCAAGGUUGCUGGUGUGUGCCUGACAGUUCCAUAGGAAGUAGGGACUUCUGGGAGGGAGGAGGAGGUGGAAGGUGCCCUGGUCAGCAAAGUGGGGUCCAAGCCUUCUAGUCCCAACUGGGCACAUCACUUCAUCUCUGAGAGUCUCAUUUUCUUCAGCCACAACUAAUGAACAAAGUCUCCUUCAGCUCCCAAAUCCGAAUAGCUUUAAGGAUAUCCCCUGCUUGCUGCUUGUUAUUAUGUCAGGCCCUGUGCUAAGCGCUUUGCAUAUAUUACCUCAUUUAAUCCCCAUUUUGGAAGUCAGGAAACAGCCUCUGAGACAUUUUGUAACUUAGCUAAGGUCACUCAGUUGACAAAUAGUGAAGUGAUGGGAUUCAGUAGCCUCUGCUGCUAGCCACUGCCUCAGGGCAGGUAAUUAUUUCUAUGAAUUCAGCAGGGCCAAGCCAACUAGACUAAGCAAAAGAAAUGAGGAUCCAAAAAAAUUCAUGCGCUUUUUCAUGCGCGGUGAAUGCAGGAAAAGUCAUAUAUAUAUAUGGCUAUGUAAAUCAGCAACUGCAAUAUUUGAAUCAGCAUGAAUAAAAAACCAUUCCUCUGUCUCUUAAAAAAAUAGGCAGAUCUGUUUUCUUCUUCCUCAUUUCUAUCUGAGCCUCUGUACCAAGGAGAAACGGGAAUAAGACAGGACUAGAUUCUUCCCAAACACCAGGUGAUGCGGUCAGUGAGGAGAGCUCCAGAAUCAAAAGAUGAAGAAGGACCUGCCUCUAGCCCCCAAGAGGUAUGCUGUUCUUCCCACACAUCUCAGCUCUCUCCCAGCACUGAGUCCAGCCCUCCACAGAAAGGGGAGGAAAAUGCCCACCCCUAGCCCUGCCCUUCCCCAACCCUCCACACAUCACUCCUUCUUCUUCCUGCCCUCCUGCACAGUCUGAUAAUGGUGCUCUCUCUUGCUCAGCCCUUUAGCCCUGCAGACCUAGGACAGGGCAUGACUUGGGAAGGCUCCUGUGCACAGGGUGCACUGGAGGAGGUGCCCCAGGCCCUGGGCCAUGGAGAUAAUUGUGUAUCUGCUUCUCUUUUACCUUUUGGGUGGGUAGCCUCUCCUUUUUUAAGGGACACUGACUUCAACCAUGUCUACUAAUCCCUCAGUAUGGCUCCCUGGGCACUCAAGAGCAACAGUUCCAGGCAGGGACCCCCACAUCCUACUCUAAUUACUACUGCAGACACAGAGGAGACCAAUUCCAUUCCUUCCCUGGCCUCUUGGAUUCUUUGUUUACUCACCUCUUUCCAGUGACCACGUCUCCCACUUCCCCUUCCCCAGCAAUACUCCCCUGUCAUCCUCACCUCUCCCCUCCCCCCAGCUCAUUUCCCAGAACCCACCAUCCAUUUAUCUUCUCUACUUUAUACAACACUGCUGGGAGGAAGGGCUCUUCCUCAGUGGAGCCCAGGAACCUCCAUGAGGAGCCCAUUUCUCCCUUCACAACCAAAAAAUUGCUUCCUGUAGAAUAACAAGCAGAGGGAAAAGGCUGGAAGGAGAUAUGUUAUCGGGGUGUUCUCCAGGGGGUGGGACUGUAGGUGACUGACAUGUUUGUUUUUCAUACUUUUCUCUAGGUUUUACGUUUUCUAUUAUGAGCAGAUUACUUUUAUAAUCAGUAAAUAUUUAGAGGAGAGGUUAAACCACAGCUCUUCGAAGAAGACAGGGCUAUGUUUGAAUCCUGCCUCCACAGUUAGGAGUCAUGCUUCCUUGGAAAAAUCUAACUUUCUAAACCUCAGUUGGCACAUCUGUGAAAUAAUACCUACUUCACAGGGUUGUUGCUAUGAUUAAAUAUAAAGUGCUGGCUACAGGGCAGGCAUUCACAAACUGGCAACUAUUACUUAAACUAAUAAGAGUUAAAAUCGCAACCACCACCACUUGCCCCUAAGUGUUCUCUGCCUCUUGGUACCCAGACAUGGGAAAGUCUCACCUAUUAUAGAACUGGGCUAUCCUUCCCUUCCAAAGCCCACUUUUUUUUUCUUUACUAUGCCAUAAGGUGGCAAAGUCAGUAACCUCGUGUAUCAUUAGCUGGUUGACUGAAUGACUGAAAAUACAAGGACUUUGGAAUAGUCUUUCUCCAAGUGCAGAGGCAAAAAAUAAAUAAGCAAACAAAUAAAUUUCAUAUACGUAUGAUCACUGUACUCUUCCAGUGAGGCAGGAGCCAGGGCCUAUGCCAGGCGCUUUCAUACCGAGUCACCUUUACAGCAAACCCCUCGGGCGCUGGGCACUUGCAGUACCCAGGUUUCCGCGUGGGCGCUGACAAAUUGCAGACACUUCCUUUCCUCGCCAGCAGGGCUCUCUCGCGGUCACUUCACCCAGCCCCUUCCGAGCGAGAAGGCCUUGGGGGCCGGGACAACCCCUCCCCAGAACCACCCUGACUAGGCUCUUUGCAGCCAGCAUCACUACCGAGCUAACCAAUAUGGACCAGCCUGCGCUGCACAGGGCGCUUAGGCGAUCGUUGGAGGGUCAUGAGGAUCAGCCUGUCCGCCCACCGACGGCGGCGCAGUGGGAUGGGGAACGGGGUGGGGGCCGAAAGACGGGAGGAAGGAGUCGCUGCAGUGUCUCCAGGCGAUGGUUGCCAGCGUCUCACUGGGGAGGAAGUUCCUCCUGUCAUCCAACCCGCAGUUCCCCUCUUGCAGAGCCCUGCCGAGCUCCCAGUCCAGCCUAGGCUGUCUAACGGAUGGGCGCUCAGACGCCCCCGCGAGUUGAGGAGCAUUUUUCCUAGGGCUUCCAAGUCGGGCGGGCGCCUUCCACCAUCCACCACCCACGUCUCGGCAAGGACCCCUUUUCUUUCUGCUCCUAGGUCUUCCGCAUCCACUUCCAUCCCUCUCUCGCCCUCCAGGGCUUUCUCAGGCGCCUCUCGCAGCGGACCC